GUAAUCACUUUGGCACCACAUAUAAUAAAACUGUAACAUUACAGAGAAGAUUAGCAUAGCCCCUGAGCAAGGAUGACAUGCAAAUCUAUAAAGAGUUCCAUAUUUUU
ensembl:snRNA U6 U6 spliceosomal RNA